UACUGCAUGAACCGGUGUUCGUUCCCAGGUGCCUUCUGCUGCUUUCGUCACACCCUACGAGGAUGACGAGAUGGAAAAGCAGAGGCCCUGGACUCGUUCUGAGAUUAUACGGUUUCAACUUGAUCUGGAUAAUACCAGCGAAAGGACUCAUGCUUGCCCCUCCU
rnacentral:ncRNA from 11 species